UGUAAUGUUGGUAAAUGCUCUUGUUGGCUUGGUUGUAUAAUUGGAUAAGAACUAUAGUAGGAUCUACACUUGAUUUUCGUGUGUUGCUAAAUAUCUAACUUGGUCAUGCACUCACGAUCGCUGCCUUCUUCCUCCAGGCUGGCAGUCACCUGCAGGCUAAUGUGACGAGGUGAUGAGAUACACGAGGGGUGGGAGAAGGACUGCAGGAGGACAUGCCCUGUUUUAGAUCCACCCGAUCAUUCCAAGUUUUUGCAAGGAGUUUGGAUUACCCUGAAGACUUCUUUUAGGAUCUUGAAUUACUCUGAGCAAUUCGCACAAGAGUUGAGAGUAUAGUCUGAACACUAGCCAUAGUGUGCCACGACGACCACUUGCAUACAGGAGCCUCGCGGCGCGGUCAUCUUUCCUUUCUCCUCCUCCAGCCCCCUUCCUUUAGCUCUCAUUGUAGCUUUUAUGUGCAAGAGAUUUGAUCAUGGGCAUAAGCAAACAGUUUCACAUUUCAUUGGUGCACGCGCAUGAAAAAUGAACUUGGAAGGAUUUCUUUUCUAAGUGUGAGUCUGGUUUCAUGGAAAUGUGCACUCCACAAGUGUGAUUCGGAGGAGACUGGAUCGAGCUCACGAGAGGGUCAGUAUUAAUUGUUCAGGUUGGCUUCACUGUUUUUUCCGCUCGACUUGUAUGUUGCUUUUUAUCUGUAUAUAAUGAACCUAGAAUAUAGUUAUGUAUUUUGUAA